rnacentral:siRNA from 1 species
ACCCAUUGUGUACUCUUGUUGAUG